rnacentral:rRNA from 1 species
GAUGAACGCUGGCGGCGUGCCUAAUACAUGCAAGUCGAGCGAACAGACGAGGAGCUUGCUCCUCUGACGUUAGCGGCGGACGGGUGAGUAACACGUGGAUAACCUACCUAUAAGACUGGGAUAACUUCGGGAAACCGGAGCUAAUACCGGAUAAUAUAUUGAACCGCAUGGUUCAAUAGUGAAAGACGGUUUUGCUGUCACUUAUAGAUGUAUCCGCGCCGCAUUAGCGAGUUGGUAAGGUAACGGCUUACCAAGGCAACGAUGCGUAGCCGACCUGAGAGGGUGAUAGGCCACCCUGGAACGGAGACACGGUCCAGACUCCUACGGGAGGCAGCAGUAGGGAAUCUUCCGCAAUGGGCGAAAGCCUGACGGAGCAACGCCGCGUGAGUGAUGAAGGUCUUCGGAUCGUAAAACUCUGUUAUUAGGGAAGAACAAAUGUGUAAGUAACUAUGCACGUCUUGACGGUACCUAAUCAGAAAGCCACGGCUAACUACGUG